rnacentral:rRNA from 1 species
AUUGAACGCUGGCGGCAGGCCUAACACAUGCAAGUCGAGCGGAUGAGUGGAGCUUGCUCCAUGAUUCAGCGGCGGACGGGUGAGUAAUGCCUAGGAAUCUGCCUGGUAGUGGGGGACAACGUUUCGAAAGGAACGCUAAUACCGCAUACGUCCUACGGGAGAAAGUGGGGGAUCUUCGGACCUCACGCUAUCAGAUGAGCCUAGGUCGGAUUAGCUAGUUGGUGAGGUAAAGGCUCACCAAGGCGACGAUCCGUAACUGGUCUGAGAGGAUGAUCAGUCACACUGGAACUGAGACACGGUCCAGACUCCUACGGGAGGCAGCAGUGGGGAAUAUUGGACAAUGGGCGAAAGCCUGAUCCAGCCAUGCCGCGUGUGUGAAGAAGGUCUUCGGAUUGUAAAGCACUUUAAGUUGGGAGGAAGGGCAGUAAGUUAGUACCUUGCUGUUUGACGUUACCAACAGAAUAAGCACCGGCUAACUUCGUGCCAGCAGCCGCCGUAACAC